rnacentral:lncRNA from 1 species
GUAGCCUUUGUCCGUGGUAUUUUUCCAUUAGACACGCAUAAUAAAUAAAAGAAAGAAAACAAAUAGACAUUUUAGAGCUGCCAGCUUGCUUUACAUUAAAAGGUCAUGGUUUGUGUUUGUGUGCGGUUUUGUAAAGGGUUAUAUUUUAGAGCUGCCAGCUUGAUUUACAUUAAAAGGUCAUGGUUUGUGUUUGUGUGCGGUUUUGUAAAGGGUUUUGUGUGUGCUGUGUUAGUGUUGUCAAAUGUUGUACGAUUCGUACUCUAUUUUUCUUGAUAUGCCAUUUACAAUCAAAGCCAUAAUAAAAACAAAAUAAUUGCAAUAAAAAAUGAUUCUUCUUGACGAAGGAAUAUUAUAUCAAACAAGCCAAACAAAAUAUAUAAAACAUGUCGAGAAUAAAAUACCAAACAAAAUACAACACAAAAAGAAGGCUAAUCAACAUGUCAUUUUCAUACACAAAUUCAUUUCAUACACAAAUUAAUUUCAUACACAAAUUCAUUUCAUCCUCCUGCUCAUAAGUCACUGAAAUCGUUAAAAACUGAAUUCAACAGUAUGAUCUGGUUAAAAUGAAAAGAAAAACGACAGCAACCAAAAACCAAAAAACAAACCUAAAUAAAUGUUCAGUUUUCUCAUUAGAGAUUAAACAAAUGGUGUACAUAUUUAUUAUUUUGCUCGUAGACGCACAUAGUUUUCUACAAAUUAUUUAUUACUUCUUAGCUUCAAUCAUACAGAAAACUAUGCCUUUUCGUGCAUUUAUAGAGUAGACAUUUUGUGUCAUUUAAGAGUUACAAAGCUAAGUAUAGAAGAUUAUAAAUAUACAACUGGUUAAAGGGGUUAAAAUCUGGACGUUUUGUAAUAUUAUGAAUACACAUAUGAC